rnacentral:rRNA from 1 species
UACGUAGGGCCCGAGCGUUGUCCGGAUUUAUUGGGCGUAAAGGGAACGUAGGCGGUUGGAAAAGUUUGAAGUGAAAGGCUAUAGCUAAACCAUAGUAAGCUUUUAAAACUGUUUAACUUGAGAGCAGAAAGGGAAAGUGGAAAUCCCAGUGUAACGGUGAAAUGCGUAGAUAUAAGGAGGAAUACCGGUGGCGAAGGCGACUUUCUGGACAUUAUCUGACGCUGAGGUACGAAAGCGUGGGGAGCAAACAGG